rfam:Schistosoma haematobium scaffold769_33, whole genome shotgun sequence.
AUCCAGCUGACGAGUCCUAAAUUGAAUGAAACGAAUGUCAAACUGGAU